UACGAAGGGGGCUAGCGUUGCUCGGAAUCACUGGGCGUAAAGGGUGCGUAGGCGGGUCUUUAAGUCAGGGGUGAAAUCCUGGAGCUCAACUCCAGAACUGCCUUUGAUACUGAGGAUCUUGAGUUCGGGAGAGGUGAGUGGAACUGCGAGUGUAGAGGUGGAAUUCGUAGAUAUUAGGAAGAACACCAGUGGCGAAGGCGGCUCACUGGUCCGGUACUGACGCUGAGGUGCGAAAGCGUGGGGAGCAAACAGG
rnacentral:rRNA from 1 species